GGCCGGGUGGCCUAAUGGUAAGGCGUUUGAUUUCGGCGGUGAGAAGACCUCAAACCUCAAAAGAUUGCGUGUUCGAGUCGCGCCUCGGUCG
rnacentral:tRNA from 1 species